AGUCUUCAGGGCAGGGUGCAAGUCCCUACCGGUGGUAUAGCCCACGAGCCGUAAGGCAUGAUUCGGUGUGAUUCCGAAGCCGACAGUAAAGUCUGGAUGAAAGAAGAU
rnacentral:ncRNA from 1 species